UGCUUGUCUCAAAGAUUAAGCCAUGCAUGUCUAAGUAUAAGCAAUUUAUACAGUGAAACUGCGAAUGGCUCAUUAAAUCAGUUAUCGUUUAUUUGAUAGUUCCUUUACUACAUGGUAUAACUGUGGUAAUUCUAGAGCUAAUACAUGCUUAAAAUCUCGACCCUUUGGAAGAGAUGUAUUUAUUAGAUAAAAAAUCAAUGUCUUCGGACUCUUUGAUGAUUCAUAAUAACUUUUCGAAUCGCAUGGCCUUGUGCUGGCGAUGGUUCAUUCAAAUUUCUGCCCUAUCAACUUUCGAUGGUAGGAUAGUGGCCUACCAUGGUUUCAACGGGUAACGGGGAAUAAGGGUUCGAUUCCGGAGAGGGAGCCUGAGAAACGGCUACCACAUCCAAGGAAGGCAGCAGGCGCGCAAAUUACCCAAUCCUAAUUCAGGGAGGUAGUGACAAUAAAUAACGAUACAGGGCCCAUUCGGGUCUUGUAAUUGGAAUGAGUACAAUGUAAAUACCUUAACGAGGAACAAUUGGAGGGCAAGUCUGGU
rnacentral:rRNA from 1 species